rnacentral:misc_RNA from 1 species
GACGAACCGUGCUAACGUUGUUCGGAAUCACUGGGCUUAAAGGGUGCGUAGGCGGCCGUGUAAGUCGGGUGUGAAAGGCCUCGGCUUAACCGAGGAACGGCGCCCGAUACUGCUCGGCUCGAGGGAGGUAGGGGCGCGUGGAACUUCCGGUGGAGCGGUGAUAUGCGUUGAUAUCGGAAGGAACGCCGGUGGCGAAAGCGACGCGCUGGACCUCUUCUGACGCUGAGGCACGAAAGCUAGGGGAGCAAACGGG